rnacentral:rRNA from 1 species
CCUACGGGAGGCAGCAGUGGGGAAUAUUGGACAAUGGGGGCAACCCUGAUCCAGCCAUGCCGCGUGUGUGAAGAAGGCCCUCGGGUUGUAAAGCACUUUCAGCGGGGAAGAACGCCUGGUGGUUAAUACCCAUCAGGAAAGACAUCACUCACAGAAGAAGCACCGUCUAACUCCGUGCCAGCAGCCGCGUUAAUACGGAGGGUGCGAGCGUUAAUCGGAAUUACUGGGCGUAAAGCGCGCGUAGGUGGCUUGAUAAGCCGGUUGUGAAAGCCCCGGGCUCAACCUGGGAACGGCAUCCGGAACUGUCAAGCUAGAGUGUAGGAGAGGAAGGUAGAAUUCCCGGUGUAGCGGUGAAAUGCGUAGAGAUCGGGAGGAAUACCAGUGGCGAAGGCGGCCUUCUGGACUGACACUGACGCUGAGGUGCGAAAGCGUGGGUAGCAAACAGGAUUAGAUACCCCGGUAGUC